GGGCCCAUAGCUCAGCAGGUAGAGCAUCUGACUUUUAAUCAGAGUGUCGCUGGUUCGAACCCAGCUGGGCUCACCA
rnacentral:tRNA from 1 species